rnacentral:rRNA from 1 species
UACGUAGGGUGCAAGCGUUGUCCGGAAUUAUUGGGCGUAAAGAGCUCGUAGGCGGUCUGUCGCGUCUGCUGUGAAAACCCGCGGCUCAACUGCGGGCUUGCAGUCGAUACGGGCAGGCUAGAGUUCGGUAGGGGAGACUGGAAUUCCUGGUGUAGCGGUGAAAUGCGCAGAUAUCAGGAGGAACACCGGUGGCGAAGGCGGGUCUCUGGGCCGUAACUGACGCUGAGGAGCGAAAGCGUGGGGAGCGAACAGG